GGCUUGUUGACUAUAAUUUCAAGUYUGACCUGCCCAGUGAAGAGUUUAACGGCCGCGGUAUAUUGACCGUGCAAAGGUAGCAUAAUCAUUAGUUUUUUAAUUGAAAGCUUGAAUGAAAGGUUUGAUGAGAAAAGUUCUGUCUCUGUAAAAAUUUAUUAGAAUUUUAUUUUUAAGUUAAAAAGCUUAAAUUUAAUUAGAAGACGAGAAGACCCUAUAGAGUUUUAUAUUUUUAUAAAUGAUGGAAUUUUAGGACGAUAAAAUUUUAUUAUUUGUAGGUUUAUUUUGUUGGGGUGAUGAAAAAAUUAAAUAAACUUUUUUUAAUUUGGAAACAUUUAUUUAUGAGUGGUAUGAUCCUAAAGUUUAGAUUAUAAGAUUAAACUACCUUAGGGAUAACAGCGUAAUUUUUUUUAGAGUUCUUAUCGAAAAAAAAGAUUGCGACCUCGAUGUUGGAUUAAAAUUAAUUACUGGUGUAGAAGCUAGUAUAUUAGGUCUGUUCGACCUUUAGAAUUUUACAUGAUCUGAGUUUAAACCGGUGUGAG
rnacentral:rRNA from 1 species